rnacentral:rRNA from 1 species
AUGUACAGUGGCGGCAUCAUGACCGGCGACGCCUGCGGCACAGAAAUGAACAACGUGGUCACCCUGGUGAGCUACGGUGUCGAGCAGGAUGGGACAAGCUACUGGCUCAUCAAGAACUCAUGGGGCCAAAACUGGGAAGAAGGAGGUUACAUGAAGGUCCAGAGAGGCACCGGCGCCUGCGGCGUUGACAUGCUGGCAUCUUACCCUGUCGCAUGA